CCCGCCUCGACCCUCCGGCGGCUGCCGACUCACCCAAGCGUAGGCGAGUCGCCUUCUCCCCGUCUCCUCUUCAUCCCUUUUGCUCCUCUUCUCCUCCACGAUCGAGACGAUUCUUGAAAGAUCCAACUGUGCUCGCUCAUGUACCAGGCCGCCUGCACCACCGGCGGGAUCGACGGCUGCCGCCUGCUCGAUCUCGUCUAGUGUAACAUGCAGUUCUUGAAAUCAGACUAUGGUUGUCAGGAUUUUACGUGUGCAUAUAGCAAAUGGUCUUGUCUGCUCGACUCUUCUCCAGCUUGACAGCAGAUGGUGUUGCACGCCAAUGAAGUGGUAUACAUAAUUCAUCAACCAACACCAGUAUUAGUUCCCUAUAGAAAUAUGAAAACAUUGUUCUUUUUCUACAAGAAAGCAAAAACAUUCUUCCUAAGAUAAAAGGAUGAUCAAACGCACAAGGUCUGGAGAGUCAGCAGUCCUACCACUCACUACACCGCAACAAGAAAGUCUUAAGUUCAACUUCAUGAUUGACAAGCAGCAAAUAAGUUUCGUUAGCUUCUACAUCCAGUCUGCCCUUACAUCUUGGCAUCCAAAUUAAUGGUUGAUGACCCUCCUGCUUUACUUGUCUGCACAUUUUGUAUAGAUUCUAUCAUGGCGACGGUAGAAUCGCCGCGCUUUAUGAUGCUCUCGAGCAAUCCAACCUUCUCUAGUAAUGAUCCGAUAUUAGAGUCCGCGGAACUCACCACCUUAUCUGCGGUCUUCAGAGCAGCACAUAACUGGAACAUAGAGAAAGGCGUAAAAUUAGCUUAAAAUGUAGAAGAUAAACAAAGGAGAAGGCUGUUCUUCCGAUAUAUGACUAUGGUACCUUUAGAGUUAAAGCUGUCCAUGAGUGGUCGGUCCCUUUUAAUGACUCGAUCAACUGAUCGUAGUUCUCCUGAAGCACACAAGACCGAUGAACAUGAGUAUUCAUGGACAAAGAUAAUAGGAAACCAAGGAACAACAGCAAGACUAUCUGAGACAGUUAUGAUUUAUGCUAAUUGAAGGACAUGCAGAAAACAAGACUAUGAUUUAACAUUAAUGUUUUUGGUUUUAUACAUUCUUGUCUGAAGGACAUGCAAAAAGUAAGGGGAAAGAUGCACCUGAGAUUGGAGCUGUAUAUUUUUUUCCAUGCAAAUCAUGUAUGGGUUUAAUUGUAAACAUGGUUAUUUAUAUUACUCUGUAAUUACACUUCUCUGA